ACACACUUCAACCAUUUGGUGGUGAAUUGUGAGAAACUGGCUUUGAUGAUACAGUUUUUGCAAAUCCACAUAAUAAGAAAUGACACUUAAGGAAUCAGAACUUGUUAGAGACAUUCAAAACAAUCAAUGAACACAAACAAAUUGAAGUACAAAAUUAAUCAGUUUUUCUUCACUUUUGAAACCAUAGUAAUAAGAUCACCAACCAUGAUUUCAAUAAUUAGAUUAAACUUUUUCAAGAAUUUUUCUGUAGAAAAUAAAAUAUUAAAUAAUAAUUUGUGUGAGCAAUUGAGUGUUUUUGUUAUUAGUUAAGGCAGUUGCACCAAAAUGUCCUCUUAAUCAUCAUUCCAAAACCGAUUAUUUUGUUUUCAUUGUAUUAAUCAUUGUUCACAAAAGACUUCCAGGGAUUUUCAUGAGUUACAAUUCUUUCUUUUACUCACCAAUUAUCAUCUUGUUUUCAUGAAAUAUUGUAAAAUAUAAUUUUGAAAAAUCUGACAUAGAAACAUUAUAAUCAAAUUUUACUCUGCAUUUAUUUAUUUAUUUAUUUAUUUAUUUUCAAUAUAGAUAUACAACUAAAUCCUUGAAAUUGGCAUCAAAUUCUCACAUACCAUUGUUUGAAAACAUUUUUUUUCUUUUUUCUUUUCAGUCAUUAUUUUAUUAAACAUCUUAGAGUCUCAUGUUUAAUAUGUCAGUCUUAGAAUUCUUUCAAUAUCUUCUACACGCUACUUAUCCACCAUCACCUAUAUCUUUACAGUCACUUAAUUUUUAUGCCCAAUUUAUUCUAUGAUAAACAUAAAUCUAUACAAUUAUUUACAUACUUAUGUUGGUAUAGUUGUUUGUUGGAUAUUAAAAUUAUGCCAAGACUUUGAACUAUCAAUUGGUUAACAUCUCAAUUGAGCAAUUCAAAACAAGCCCAAAUGGUUCAUAAGAUUAAUGAACAACUUUAACUUAUGAUUAUUAUUAUGACAACUAUCAGAAUGCUACUAACAUAAAAAUAAAAAAUAAAAAAUAAAUAAAAAAAAACAGGUCAGUUUGCUUGCUAUGAAUGGGUUGAUUCCCACUUCGUACUUCAUUCAUUUGUUCACAUAUGUGUUCAUAUGAUAGUGUUGUGUACUUCUGUACCAAUUCCCUGUGCCCACCCUAAAAGACCAAGCUCAGCACCCUUCUCAUGGUAUGCAGGUAUUUAUAGCAAAGAAGUUAUUUCUUUAUUAAAUAAUAUCUAAGAGAAUGUAAAAAAUAAUUAUUUGACAAAUAUGCAAGUAUCGGUGAAACAAAAAAUGAAGAAACAAAUCAAUGGAUGAUCUGUAAGAGAGGAACCACAAUUGUCUUAUGUUUGAUUUUUUGUACAUCAAAGUUCUCAAAGGUUGAAUAACUUCCAGUACCUGUCUUUGUGGAGGUUGAAAUACCCCAUUUCAAAACUGUUUCUCUUUAAUAAAAUAAAUGAUAUCAACCAAAUAUAAAUAAAAUAAUCUAGCCACCACCAGUGGGAGUUGUGCUGUAGAAUGCUGAUGCUUUGCAGCAAACAACCCACACUUGUUAUUUUUACUACAAAAUGUAAUCACACACCUGUUUGUCUCCUACAACAUAGAUAUACUUUCCUUAUAUGUAUAUAUAUAUAUACCUGAAUUUACAUCAACACUUUCCAUGAGAGGUUCAACUACACAAACUUUCCAAUCACAGCAAUCUCUACAAGAAUUUUAAUCACUUCCUGUAGACCAUUCUGGAAACCAAUGUCAAAUUGUAAAAUCCAACGUGUUAUUUUACAUAUUUUUUCUUCACAAAGGAAAAUCUUUUGAAUAGCAGCAAGGGUCAACUCACAUGAUGGGAUGUUGUAUUAUAUAUGAUCACGGGGGGGUACUUUGACCUUAGUUUACAAAGAGAGAAAAAGGACAUCUUCAUACUAUUCUCUUUUUUCUCAAAAGGUACAACACACACCCCUUCUUCUUGUCUCUCAAUUUAUUAAACAUAUAUCUAUAUAUCUAAAUAUAUAUCAAAACGAACAAGGCCUGAUUUCUAUAGAGAAUAGGACAAAUCCAUUGCCUCUCCCAAAAGAUGGAUGGGCUGCCAAUUACUCCUAAGUUUGAAUUGGUUUGCUUUAACCACUAGUUGAACAACUUCAGGGUUUUUUUUAUGAUGGGAUCAACCAGAAUGGCACAGAAAUUAGAACUAUUACGGCAACAACAGCAACAACAGCAACAUUAGUAAUGUCAAUACCAACACUACUGUUACCCUAAAACCAGUUGCUUUACUUUUUCUGGGUACUGGGUCAGUGUCAUGUGCAGAAGCUUUCUUUAGUUCUUCUGUCAAUUAGCUGCCUUUUAAUGUUAAAAGUGAGAGCAUCUGAGAAAAAGUGAAGGUUCUCAUCAUUCCCACUACCUACCUUUCCACAUCCCACUUUCUCUCUCUCUCUUCCAUCCAAAGUCACGAUCCACACACACACACACACACUCACUGCCUUUUCAUAAUUGUAACCACCCCCUGAUCUCCUCCUCGAAGCACUGGAAGCCAGUUUGAUGUUAAAAUAACAGAUACAACACAAAAGAAAAAUAUUGGUCGCUUGUACACCAGAAUUCAUAUACAGGUACAUAGCAAUUGAGAGUUUUUAACACAAAGACACAGAGAAUGAACAAUGGUAAGGAUAAGAAUAAUAGUAAUAAGAAUACUACGAAGAAGAAUAAGAAUGGAUGGAUGUGAGUGAGAGUGAAGAUGGUUUGCUGCGGUCAAGCAAAGGGCAAUAAUAAUAAUUUCCCGUUUUUGCUGCUAGAGAUGAUUAACGUGCAUACUCUCAUAGACCAAAUCAUCGGGUGAGGGUCAGGCCACCAGGGCGGGUUGUGAGACAAACCACCGCACCGCAUCGCAUCGCACAACAUAUCGGCACAGCAUUGUGGAUUGUCUGCUGCUGCCGGGGCGGCACCGACCCAGGAUUGCGGGGCUUCAGCUAUGGAGUUAGUUUCCAUCCUUCUUAGCUUUCUUUCU
rnacentral:lncRNA from 1 species